GACGAACGCUGGCGGCGUGCUUAACACAUGCAAGUCGAACGGAAAGGCCCUGCUUUUGUGGGGUGCUCGAGUGGCGAACGGGUGAGUAACACGUGAGUAACCUGCCCUUGACUUUGGGAUAACUUCAGGAAACUGGGGCUAAUACCGGAUAGGAGCUCCUGCUGCAUGGUGGGGGUUGGAAAGUUUCGGCGGUUGGGGAUGGACUCGCGGCUUAUCAGCUUGUUGGUGGGGUAGUGGCUUACCAAGGCUUUGACGGGUAGCCGGCCUGAGAGGGUGACCGGCCACAUUGGGACUGAGAUACGGCCCAGACUCCUACGGGAGGCAGCAGUGGGGAAUAUUGCACAAUGGGCGGAAGCCUGAUGCAGCAACGCCGCGUGCGGGAUGACGGCCUGCGGGUUGUAAACCGCUUUCGCCUGGGACGAAGCGUGAGUGACGGUAAUGGGUAAAGAAGCACCGGCUAACUACGUG
rnacentral:rRNA from 1 species